rnacentral:lncRNA from 1 species
GAAAAGAUGGGAAAAAAUAGACGAACUGGCAGAAACUAGAUGAGGUUAGGGUACACAGCCAGAGCCUUCUCAUACUUAAGAGACCCAUCAGAGUAAAGCAGAGCCCAAUAACAAAGCUUGUGGUAGCUGGCAAAGUAAGAAUUUGACUGCUCAAGCUCUGAGUACUUCCUAAUGACACUGUUCCGCAGUUGAACGUUGCAUGACAGGUAACCGAUAUACCCACUUUAGAUCAAUAGACAAAAGUAGGGAUGUGAACAGUCUCACAUUUCCCUGACCUUCUAAAAAGAGCCAAAACUACCAUUCUCACAUAAGAAAUAACAUUUUCAUAACUUUUACUGCUCUCCCUUUAGCUAUUCAUUUGCUUCAAAUAAGAUUCACAUGAAGGAGUAGCUGUUAUCUUGAAGAAAUGUUCAAUUUCAUACUUGCUUGGAUCCCUCACUCUAUAUAACUCUUACUGUACAUUCUUUUAGGAUCCUAAGUUGGGAAGAUUUGAAUAUAAUAUAUAGGUGAUCCAAUGGUGUUCUCCUUUUUCCCAAAACAUCUAUCAAACCUGUCCCAGUAGGGUGGCCUAGAAGUCACAGAGCCAUUUUAACAAUUUUCUUUUAUGACUGUGAACUUCACAAGGAGCCAGCCCUUUGGGCCAACACCAUAGCCUUCACAACUUGGGGAUGAUGGAUUUUCCCCUAUAGUCUCUAUCCUUCUCAACUUAAUUACAGGACUUAGUAGUUAGUUCACUUGGCACAGGACUCGAAUCUGUGACCUAAGAACAAGUCCCUCAACCUUCCUCUUUUUAACAAUCUAGGGAAUCAACGUUCCAAUCCUAAUCAUAACAUAUGCAAAACUACGUAAAUUCUUUCCAUCAACCUAAAUAUUUGGGGACAAAGCUAAUCAAUACCAUUGUUAGUCAAGGAACCUCUAAAUACCAUUGUUAAAAGAAACAAAACAAAAAGAACAUCUAGUGUCCAUCACAACAGAGAUGUAACCUCAUAAUAUCCAAAAAUACCAAAAACCGAUAAAGCCCAUAGAAGUAAUCCAUUCCGCUGAACAAAACCAGCAUAUCAUAAGUCUCUUUCUACUUUCUUUACUCAUAUUCUAUAGGUCAAUUGGCUUCAACAGGUGAAAAAAAAUCAAAAUUAUCAAACUACUACUUGAAAACAAAAUGCAAUGAAACUUAAAUAACCUUAAUGAGACACCACAAUGUUACUACUUAACAACGCAUACUAGAGCAAAUAGGUUUUUAUAUAAUGACUGGCAAUCAGCUUGUAUAGGGAAAAAAUGAAAUGUAUCCGAACUAAUACUUGAAAACAACAACAACAUACCCAGUGUAAUCACACGAUUGGGAUCUAGGGAGGGUAGUGUAUACACAGCUUACCCCUCUCCCUUGGGUAAAGGUUGUUUCCUAUAGACCCCCGGUUUGAAUAAAACAUAUCAAAUCAGUUAUCAAAAGGAAAUACAGCAGUGAAGAAGCUAAGUCAAAAAUACUGGAGAACAAAACAAUAGAAACAACAAAUAGAUAGCCGAAGCAAAGGAAAUAACAAGUAAUAAUCAAAUCGAAAAAUAAGAUAGUAUGAGAGUACGGAUAAUAAAUCUUAUAAGAAAAACUAUUAAACUCUCAACUACCUACUAAACUUCCACCCUAAUUUUCAACCUCCAAAUUAAAUAAAAUUAAACAAUCUUAAUGAGACACCAAAAUUUUACUUUUAACAAUACAUAUUAGGAACAAAUGGGUCUCUAUAUUAUCUCUUUUGAUAAUCGUAGCCAACUUUCAAGCAGCUCAACUAGUUCCACAAGAUACCUAAUACCUCACACAAGCAACAAACACCAGGUAACUCUAUCCACCAAGACUAAGACAGAUAGCAAGAAAUCACUAGUAUUUUUUGUCUAACAACUCACACAAACAACAAGCAUCAGUAAAUUUGUCCAUCAAAGAUAGAACAGAUAACAAGAAAUCAAUAAUGUUUUCGUAACAACUCACACAAGCAAUCCACCAAAGCUAGAACAGAUAACAAGAAAUCACUAGUGUCUUUGUUUAACAACUCACACAAGCAACACACCAUGUAACUCUAUCCACCAAGAAUAAAACCAAUAGCAAGAAAUCACUAGUGUUCUUGUCUAACAACUCACACAAGCAAUAAGCACCAGUUAACUCUAACCAUCAAGACUAAGACAAAUAGCAAGAAAUCACCUAGUCUUCAUUGACAAUAGGCCACAUUGUAGGCCAAAAUUUUACUUCUAACAAUCUAUCCGCAAAUGGAUCUCUAUACAAUGACCGGAAAAAGAAAAUACAAAGUUAAUUUACCGGAUUGCGGCGAUUGGAAACUUCGCGGUUGCGGAACACGACGGAAGCGAAAUCCUGCGUAGAUUUUGCAAAGGAUUUUAACUUGUCUACAACUGAAACAGCUGCUGCUUCCAUUUUUGAAAACCUAUGUAUGAAUCAGAAGAAAAAAAAAGCUUUGAGAUUGUGUAAAUGGCGUUUCAACAAUGGAAUUUCACCUUUCUCUACUCUUUCGCCAUAACUGUGCACUACAAGUAGAGAAGAUGGAAAUGAAAUUUGAUAUAUUUAUAAUGGAGUACUUAAUUUAAUUUACAUAUAUUGCUAUAUGUUUUUAAAAUUAUACAUUGAAAAAUAUAUUAUUUUUAUAAUUUUAGUGAUUUCUACGUAUAUUAUAUAUAUAUGUGUGUGUGCUGGGGGGCGGGGGGGGGUGAACGAGACAAGUAUAUACUAUGUCGUUCUUUAUUAUUAACUAGUAAAAUUAUCCGUGCUUCGCACGAGAAUUUAAUAUCACGGAAUUUAUAAAAUAAUACUUAAAAUCUAUCCGGCAUUAAAAUUAAAACACUAUAUUAUCUAAGAUAUAAGAUUAUGUAGUAACAAACAUUAAUAAUGUAAAAGGGAAAAUGAAAAAUUACUAUAUCUUAUCAUUUAGCCUUAAUAACAUAAGCAUAAAUUAUAAAUUAAUGAUUGUAAGAAUACAUACCAGUUAUGUAACAUAAGCAAUAGUUUCAGUGAACCACUCAACAUGAGUAAAGUAUACAAAUAUUUAAUUGUGAAGAAGAAAAAGAAGAAGAAGAAGAAGAAGAAGAAGAAGAAGAAGAAGAAGAGGAGGUUCAGAAUUUCCAUUGUGUUUAAAUGAGAGGAAAUCCCUCUAUUUAUAGACAACAAAGGGUAGUGUGAAUAAAUGUUUAUUGUGCCUUAUCAGAAAGGUUACAACUAUUUGGAAAAGUUGCAACCCUUCGGAAAGGUCACAACCUUUCAUAAAAGUCAUAACUUUUCACAUAAAAGUCGCAAUUUUUCAUCAAAGUAGCAACUUUUCAUAAAAAUCACAACUUUCAUGAAAGGGAAGGUUAAUUUUGUAAAUAAAUAAAUUAAAAGAGAAUUCUUGUUUGUGGUGGCGCCACGUAGGCGGGCCUAAUGCUCUCUUUUAUAUAUAUAUAUAUAUGACUAGUAAAUGGGCCCACACUUCGCGCGGUUAGAACAUUCUUCUUUAAAAUUUAUUAGAAUAGAAUUUUUUUGGUAUUUUGAUGUUAUAUUAUUUUUGUAUAACUCUAUUUUUAAGAGUAUAGAGAUUAUUCAAUUCUAGUUUACCAUUUGUUUUAUUAAAAGAAAAGGUAAAAUUACAAAUCAUAACACUAUUUUCUCUUAGUUUACAUUUCAUUUAGUGUACAUAGUGUCUUUAAUUAGAGAGUCAAAUAAAUAUUUUUCUCAAUUUUCUUCUUUUCAAAUUUCGUUAAUAUAACAUUAUCAAUUACUUUCAAAAUAUUAAAUAUUUUUAAAAUAUAUAUAUAUAUAACUAAUGUGUUUAUCAAGAGCAAAGGUCCCAUAAUCAUAUGAUAUACAUAUAAGUUAUAUGUAGUCAUUAUGUGUUUUAAAAUUGAAAUGCAAUCUUCCAAAAUUCAAAUUUCAUAUGUAAUAUAGUUAUGAUAGUGUUUUGGAAUUAAAGUUGUGCACAAACAAAACAUUAAUGAUCCUUGAAAAGGAUGAAAGAGAAGUAAGGGAUAAUGGAAAAAAAGUUCAAAAAAGUACUUUGGUAUGAGAGAAUAGUCAUCAUUGUGUAUCAUAAAAUUAUAAUUAAUUACUAGUUUUAAUUCUAUAAUUUGACUUUCUAUUUUUUUUACUCCUAUUAAUAUUAACAUUAUUAUGGCAACAACAAAAAAUCAUAUAAAUUUUUAGGCUUGAUCUCUUGGAGAAGAAAAGAUUUCUUUGGAGUAUGUUGUAAAUAAAUGUAUUCUGUAAAAAGUUAUUUGUGAAUCUGCAAUAGUUGUAUUUACAAAUAGUCUGCACUAACAAAUACUUAUAACAAUAACUUUACAGAAACAACAAAGUUUAAAACAUGUACUAAAAAAUAACAAUUAAUAUCAUAAGCCUACAUUAAUAAACGUAAAAAAAUAUCAGGAUCUGUAAUAAUAGAAUGAAAUAGAAAGGAAAAUCGAGCACACUGAAUGCACAGUGUCUCCUUGUCAGUGAGUCACUCAACAGGAGCAAAGUACCCAAAUAUUUAAUUGUGCAGAAGAAGAAGAAGAAGUUCAGAAUCAAAUAUUUAACUGUGCAGAAGAAGAAGAAGAAGUUCAGAAUUUUAAUUAUUUUAAAAUGAGAGGAAACCCCUCUAUUUAUAGACAACAAAUGGUAGUGUGAACAAAUGUUUAUUGUGCCUUACCGGAAAGGUCACAACUCUUUGGAAAAGUCACAAUUUUUCGGAAAGGUCACAGCCUUUCGUAAAUGUUACAACCUUUCAUAAAAGUUGCAACUCUUUAUAAAAGUCACAAGUUUUCAAUAAAAGUCACAACUUUUCAUAAAAGUCACAACUUUUCAUGAAAGGGAAAGACUAAUUUUGGAAAUAAAUAAAUUAAACGGAAAUUUUUAUUUGUGGUGGCGCCACGUAGACGGGCCUAGAGCUCUCUUUUAUAUAUAUACUAGACUAGAUAUGAAAAGGCUCGUUAACGGGACCAACAUUACUGUCUUAAGUUGUAUUUAUACGUAAUUAAUCAUAUUCUUAAAUAAUAAAUUAAUUUUCAAUAUUUUCACGUAAAUAAAUUAAAGAGUAAUAAUGGGCAUUACACUUUGAAGUACUUUUUUUAUUUUUAUAAAAUUAAAAAAUAACUUAUAACUUAUAUAAGUUAUCUCGACUAAUAUUAAAUACGUAAUCUAAUAUUCAUUUUAACAUUAUGUUAGAUAUUAACAUUAAAUUAAAUGACAAAUAUAUGUUGGAUAUAAAAUAUGUCAUCUUCUUUAAUUUUAUGUAUCUCAGCUCAUAUAAAAAAGGGUAAGCCUCAAGUAUGUUCUGAUUUGGUGGAUGUAGAUAUAAUUAACUGAGAUGACAUGUUUAUGUGGUUAACAUAACGAUCUAAUAAGCAUUUGUAAUCACGCACACAUAGUUUUUUCUUUCAAAAUUUGAACAUUAAAUGUGUGAAGUGUUUAGAUGUUCCAUCGGAAUAAGCCGUAGAUUUAGUAUCAAAAUGAAAUUUAUUGACAAAUUUAAUGGACUAUUAAUAUAUAAAGUCAAGUCAUAAAUUUAUUUUAUUAAAUAAUAUUAAAAUUCUAUAUCUAACUCGCACAACUACAAUUUCAUUUAAAUAUUUUUGUUUAUAACAAAAUAACAAAAAUUCGGAUAAAAUUACAUUUAUUUUAUCUAUCUUUAUGAUAAAAAUAUUUUUACUUUUUUGGUAUGAUAAAAAUUUGUUUUAAAUUUUUUGAUCAUGGUGAGAUGAUUCAUAUUUAAAAGUAUUUGUGUCAUUUAUGUCUCUAAUAAAAGAUAUUAUACGUAGUUUCAAAGCAUAAGUUAUGCUUUGUAAGUUUCUGUCUAGAUUCAAUUGAUAAAUCUUUUAAUAAUCUUUUACUUUUUAUGAAUUACAGCUACAUAUAAAUAAUUUUGAAAUUUAAAUUUGUCAUAUAGUAUGUUCAUGAAAUUUAUUAAUAUUUCAAAAAGGAGAUAAUUUGCUUAAAAGAAAUUAAUUCCCCCUUCUUAUUUGAGACAAGAGGAUAGUAGUAUUGAGAAUUAAUUGGUAAUUUAUAAAAAAUUACAUUGUUUGACUUUCCAAAACAAAAUUAUGAUAAGUAUUUAAGAAUAACGGGAGUAAUAAAAAUUCCAUUUUAUUGUUUAAAUUUUUUUUUUUGAACAUUUGAAUUCUGAAAUUACCAAAAAGAUUAUUUAUAUAGUUAAAAACAUUUUUGAAAUUGUACUAUUAAAAAAGCUAACUUGAUUUUAAAUUGUGAGGACUAAAUAUAGGGCAUGUAAAAAAUAUAGUGAAGAUUGAAUAAUAAAUGGGGUGAACAAAAUAUGAAUGGAGUUGAUAAUUGUUAAACAUUUAAAAUUUAUAAUAGAUAGUACAAUUGUAAUGAUGUAAAGAGAAUGGGUCCACAUUGUUACACAUGUUUAAAGGUUAUUGGUGAGGGAUUAAGACAAGGCAAAGUACAUAAUAUAAUUUGUAUUGUUCAUUGUACAACUCUUCAUUGCCAUGAUCGUCCUUCCACGGCUCUUCUAUAUAAUAGAAAUAUAAUUUUCUAAUAUUUUAUACCAAAUAUUUUUUAAUAACUCAAUUGAUUGAUCGGAUUAAUUAUUUUAUAAUCACGUUAUCCAUUUUCUCAUUUCUUUCUCUUGUUUUGAAAAAAAAAAAUGGAGGUGAAGAAGAAAAAAUAGGAUAAAAAACUACAAGAUGAAAAUUGAAUUCUCGCCCUCAAUUUAAAAUAAACAAUCAACUAAUAUCUCUUCUGUGCAAUAAUAUUUGUCCACUAUUGACUUUGCACACUUCUUAAGAAACUAUAAAUAGAAGGAUAAUUUUACUUGUGAACAAGCUGAAUGAUUCAUAUUAUUGUCACUGUGUAUUUAUUUUUUUCACUAUGACUAUAUAUACUUUCUUUUGUAUGUGAAACUUAUUUUAUAUUUGAUUUAUGAUUAUGCUAACUGCUUUGGUUAUUACAUAAGCUUUUAAUUUAUUUUGUUUUGUGUGUGAAAUAUUUUGGGUUCACAUGGAAAUUGAAAAAGGGGUGGUGAUAGUGAGCAGUUUUAUUUUAGUGUAAUUGAAAUUAUUAUUUUCUUAGUGUGCAAUUGAUUCUUUAAUUUAUAACGGUAAUUCACUAGUUUAAUUAUUGUGCACCAAACAUAAUAUAAUAUAUUGUUGUAUGUAACUCUCUGUUUUGACAAGUUUAAGAUAUUAGUACAUACUUUGUUGAGAAUAUUUUUAUUGUGUUUCUUUUGUUCUAUAUUUAUUUGUACAUGUUAAUCACAAAGUGACAAUAUUUUUUAAGGCUCAAUGGUGAAUCCUAUUAAAUUUGGCUUAUUAUGUUAUUGAUUGAGGGUAAGACGAAGGAUUCAAGUCCUAUCGUAUCAAGAGGGUAAUACAUCGGGUGAGAGUCCUGGUGCAUCAUCAUAAUAAAAUGUUGGAUUGGUCCCAACAAAUAAUGACCUAAAAUGCCUUCUUAUGGCUAAGACGUUGGGUUCAAGUCCCAACGUUUUAUUAUGACGAUGUAAUGAUGAGUGAGCAAAUUGAUAUGCUCUUGAUAAAAGUCAUGAAAUUUGUCCAAUUGAUUUGGUUCAUCCUCUUAUGUGAAUGUGUCUGAAAAUGACAAGUGCUUAAAUGUAUGAAUAUGAGUAUGAUAAAAUGUUAAUGAAAAAUUACCUAACUACACAUUUUUUUAACCCUAUUUUCUAUUAUUUCCUAUCAUUUUAAAAAAUUACAAAAAACCUUCUUUUUCCUCAAAUUCUCUCCUAUCCAGAUACAUAACUUUCAGACUUCCAACUUUACUAUUUUUCUCUCUUUUUUCAUGCCUAUAAUCACUCCACUAUAUCAUCAUUUACCUUUAUCACUCCUUUAUUUUGAAUUUUAAAUAUUUUCUCUCUCCGGUUAAUGAUUUAAAGUUAAUCAAGAGAUGGUUACAUUUAUCAUGCAGUGCUAUUUUAUAACUAAAUCAUUGUUUAUCAUAUUCAUAAUUUUUUUUGUAUAUAAUACAUAGCUACGUCAAAUUAAACGGGCAUGAUACAUAAAUAUUAAUUUAUACUACAUGUAUCGAUCUCAAACAAAAUAACUUAUGGCAACAAUUACAUAUUUAAUGUAUCCCGUAACAAUACAAUACUUAUCAAUUUAAACUAGAUACAUAAAUAGUAAUGUAUCAUGCACUAAUUUUUUAGAUAUGAUACGUAAAUUUGAAUUUAUACUAAAUGUAUCAAUUACAUAACAACUACCACACAAUAAUGUAUCAAUCUCAAAUCUAACAUCUUAUGGGCAACAAUUACUUAUUUAAUGUAUUUAGUAUAAAUACAGUACUUAUGAAUUUAAACGAGAUACAUAAAUAGUAAUGUAUCAUGCACUAAUUUUUUAGAUAUGAUAUGUAAAUUCGAAUUCAUACUAAAUGUAUCAAUUUACAUAGCAACUAUCACACAAUAAUGUAUCGAUGUCAAAUCUAACAUAUUAUGGGCAAUAAUUAUUUAUUUAAUGUACUUAAUAUAAAUAUAAUACAUAUCAAUGUUCAAGAAAUGAACAAGCUAACGUAGUUGCUGCCAGUUAUAGACUCAACUUUUUGAUAUGGGAAUGAGGGGUAGUGCCAGACCUAGAACACCUAGGUACUGCCUAUGGUGAUGACAAUUCAUAAAAAAAAAACAAGAUACAUAAAUAGUAAAAUUCUAAGUAACAAAGAUAUUCAUGAUGUAUAUCUCAAAAUUUUUGACGAUCUUCAAUUAAUUAGGAGAAGAAUUUUGAAUCUCAAAAUUUUCGACAAUUUUGAAUCGAAAUUGAAAGGAUCUUCGAUGAAUUGGAAGAAGAAAGAAUCUUGAAUCUCAAAAGUUUUGAUAAUCUUGAAUCAAAAUUAAAGGAUGUUCGAUGAACUUGAAGAUUCAAAAGGAAAUCGUUUGUCCAACAAUAAUUCCAUCACUUUUGUAUCAUUCAUAUUCACCUCGCUUACCCAAAAUUUCGACAAAAGAUUUUGAAUCAAAUCUGAAAGAUUUCUUCGUUGAACGAGAGAGCAAUUUGAAAUUUUGAAUUUCUUCAUUCUGUUAGGAUUUGCCUCUAUAUGAUUGAGAGUAAGAAGAAACAUAAACGUAAUUUAUGAGAUUUAAUUAAUUUUCAGAUCCCUUUUUAGUGCAACAGAAAGAUUUCUUCUUGUAUUAGAAUUAAUGUAUCCGGAUGGUGAAUUAGUGUAUCCGGAUGGUGACUUACGUAUCCGGAAGGUACAAAUUUUAAAGGAUUAUUGUAAUUAGAAAAAGAGUAGGGAUAUGAUGUAAUUUACUUUUUGCACUAUGAGAUUUAUGUAAGUUAUACAAUGUUAAUAGUCAAUUGUGGUAAUUUAAAGGAAGAACAUCAUGUGUUCUUAAGACGGGCCUUCAAAUGUGAAGGUAAUUUUGGGUCAUCAAAGUGGUAUGACAGGUUAUUGGUCACAUUGGGUUGGUGCAACCCAAUUUGAAAGUUUUGUAAAUCCUCCAUCAAAAUAAAGAAAAUACAAAGUGAUAGUACAUUUUGUACUUUUAAAGUGAUGUUGAUGUGGGUCAAAUAAAUUUGAUAAUGUCAAAGUAUAACUAAUAAAAAUUUAUGGAGCAUGUACAAAUGAUUAUGGUCAUUUCUUGAAGAGAAUGUGCCCUGUGUUCGUUUGGAUAAGGACAUGUUCAUGUAUGAUUAAAUAAACGUCACAUCUCACCUCUACGGGAGGUUUGAUGUAUUGAAUUUUUUUUUUUUUGACAUGAAUGGUCAUUUUGGUCAUAUACUUUGAGUACUACACAAAUAUUGUGGUAUGUUUUAUUAUGAACUAUUGGAGGACAAAUGAAAUAAAUACUAAUUCUUUUCUAUAAAAAUUGUGGUCAUGACCAAAAUUAAUAUUAUUGUGUGGGAACACAAAUUUGUCAUUGGUUGUCAAGAAAUAAAUUUUGCUUGUAAUAAUUUUAACUAUGACAAUAAUAAAAAAUUUCUCCUUGAAGGAGAUGGUCACCAUAAGAAUGGUGUUGUGAAAUUUGUGGUAGUACACAAAAUUAAUUGAGAGUUCCGAAAGGGCUAAUUGUUACUAUCCGGAGGAAUGAAAUAGUUUAUCAUAUUGGGGUUGUAGUAAGUCUCAAAAGAAACUUUUUAAGUUUCGGAGAAAUUGAAAGAAAAAAAAUUAUUAUAUUGAGAUUGUAAAUUAUUGAAAUAUUAAAUAUCUUCACUUUACUACAAUCAAAGCGGAUUAUGAAUAUUUGCGUAAAAGGUUACCUGUCUUUUCCUUGUUUGUUGUAUAAAAAUAUAGGCAUGAUGAAGAAAUCACAUGCAAAAGUAAACAAAAAGUUUACUAGAAUACAUAUCAGUUGGCAUAACCGAUUGGCCAUUCCGGUUCAAAUGUGAUGCAAAAUAAAUUGAGAAUUCACGUGGCUAUAUGUUUGAAGAAAUAAAAGAUCUUCCAGAAUUCUCUUGUGUUGCUUGUUCUCAUCAUAAAAUGAUCAAUGUACUAGCUAAGGUUGGGAUUGUAUCCUCCGAAAUUAUUUGAAACAUAUAAAAAGGUGAAUAUGGCCCGUUCACUUGCCAUGUGGACCGCUAACUACUAUGAUUUAAUAGAUGCAUCUAUGGUAUGGUCACAUGUGCAUUUGUAUCAACUUACAAAUUGGAUUUUGUAAGGUUGUUUGCUCGAAUUGUUAAAUUAAGAGUACAAUUUCAAAUUAUAUAAUUAUGUUGAUAAUACUGGUUGGUUUAGCAGAAAUUGUUUGCCUCCAAUUAUAGCUAGACCAUUGAUUAUGAGAAGAAAUCUCUCAAAUAAAAUUUGAUAUGAGAUGAGUUUAUUUAACAUGUAUGCAUCAAGCCAACAAGGUUCUCCCAUCACAAUUGGUUCAGGGUCAGGAACUAAAUAAUUUCCAUCUAAAUAUUUGAUAUGUGCACAUAUGAUUUUAUUGCUCCACCACGCACAAAGAUGGAUACCCAAAUGAGGUUGAGGAUAAAUGUUAGAUUUCCUAACAUUAGGGGGAGAUGUGUUUAGCAGCUGAAAAUUAUGUGUGGUGAAUUAUCUAGAUCAUCGUUAAAAAAAUGUGAACUUGAAGUUUAAGAGAUAAUUCAUUUGCAAAAUGUUGUUUUGCCAGAUAUAUUUACUGACCCAAUAUUAUAAUUAAGUUGCAAAUGUUCCAAUAAAUAGUCCUUGAAAGACAGAGCCUAUGGUACACCGAAAGUGUGAUAGACCAAUCGAUUCCAAACGUAUAACUCCUUGAGGAAGGAGAAGAGCAAAUUACCGAAAUGGUCAUGAUAAUGAGCUAAGUGCUCUGAGAGAGUACUACGACAUAGCACUUCAUAAGACCUUAGCAAAGGUUCAAGUACCUGAAAUGAUGAAAACUGAAGAGAGCUCAAUAAGUUAUGUCGAAUUGGAAUCGAUAUCAAAAUGAUUGUCGACGGUAUAUUUGAUAUGAAGUAGCACUCAAUGCUAUAAAUGGUUACGAGGAUCUUGAAUUCAAAUAUGUCAUAUAAUGUGGACAGAUAAAUGAUUGGCCAAAUUAAAAUGCACUAUUCAAGUAUAUUUUGCUUCACUUAAAAAAUAUUGUUUUUGAACUUAUAGUUCAUGGGUACAAAUGAAUCAUUGUGCGAAAGUAUAACUGUAAGAUAUAAAGUACGGUUUGUACCUCAGGGCAUAAAGGACUUUCGCAAAAGUCCUAACAUUAUUAAAUGGAGAUAUAUUCUCCAGUGGUGGAUGCAAUGAGACUUAUUUCAGUCUGGCAAUAGAUAAAAUACUUGAAUAUGUGUAAUGAAAUAUUAUCAUGUCUAACUAGACGAUGAAGGUUAUAUGAAAAUUCUUAAAGAAUUUAAAAGGUCUUAAAGCAAUUCCAUUGAAUACCCAAUGAUUUUGAGACUGCUUAACACAUAGAAAGAAUCUUUUUGAUCUCAUGAACAUGAUUUAAAAUGUCAUGUAUUAGUGCAAUUGGUGCACUUACAGAUUGUUGGUUAUGCAAAUGCUAGAAGAUUGUUUGAUAAACAUAAUGAAAGUUAUGUGAAAGGAUUGUCAUAUUAUGAUUCAAGUUAUGACAGGAAACUAACGAAGCAAGUGACUUAACACAUAAAAGAUGUGUGAUUUUCUUUGAGAAGAAAAGACGAGAUUCAAUAAAAUUGAAAUGAUUUGUAUGUAGAUGCAGAAUAUUUAUUUGAUCCGCAUAAAGCUCGAUCGCAAAUGGACUAUUUAUUUAUAUAUGGAGGCACAAUAAUAUCUUGGCAUUCAAAGAAUCACAUUAGUAACCACUUCUUCAAAUCAUGCAAAAAUAAUAUUGAUCUAUGAAUUAAGUCGGGAGUGGUUUUGGUUGGAAUCAUGAUCUAUAGAAAAUAUGUGAUUUUCUUUUGAAAAGGAUAUUCCAGUCACCAUAUAUGAAAAUAAUAUACAGUUCAAUUGAAGGGAGGACACAAUCAAAGGAGAUUGAACAAAGCAUAUUUCACCAAGUCUUUUUCACACAUGAUCUUCAACAAAAUGGUGAGAUAGACGUUCAAAGACUUAUUCAAGUGAUAAUCUUGUAAACUUAUUCACUAAGAAUUGCCAACAUCAAAUUUGAGAAGUUGUAAUAUAAGAUUGGAAUGCAUCGUCUCCGAGAUAUCAAGUAAAGUAUUUAUCAAGGGGAGAAAAAUACUUGUUGUACUCUUUUCCUUAACCAUGAUUUUAUCCCAAUUGGAUUUUCCUGGUAAGGUUUUUAACGAGGCAACAUUCAAAGCGUAUUAAAAGAUAUGUGUACUCUUUUUCCUUCAUUAGGAUUUUUUCCCACAUGUUUUUUUUCUAGUAAGGUUUUAACGAGGCAUAUUAUCUAUGGACAUCCACGGGAGAGUGUUAUAAAAUAUUAUAGUGUGUAUGUCCACUACACCAAGAAGUUACUCUCACCCAUUAUCUCCAUUACUUUCUUCCAUUAUGUAGAUAAUCAUAACCUCCAUAACCUCCACCUUUAUGCCUCUAUGUUACACUAUAAAUAGAGGUAUAAGAGUUCAUAUUGUAUAGACUUAGGGUGUACACUUGAAAGAAAGAAAGUUAUCACAUAUUGUUCCUCUUGUUCUAUAUUCUUCUUUGUCUUCCUCUUUAUAUUGUUCUUUUAUUCUUAAGUUUUACAACAAAUUAUAGUUAAAUAAGGUACCUUUGGGUUUUAAUCCAAGGAGACGGGGAGAAUGAUGAUGAUUUUGCACAUUAUUUGUGUUGGUGGAUGAAACGAAAGCUCCUUUCUAGAGUAUUUUGUGAUAAAAAUGUGUCAUUAAGGCUUUUAAAAAGUAAGUUCUAUAAAGUGAUAGUAGAACAAUAUUGUUGUACAUGACAAAGUGUUGGUCAAUGAAGAAUGUCCAUGUUUAGAAGAUGAAGAUGCUUGGAUGGAUGUGUGGGUUAACUAGGUGAUAUGAUUAGGAACAAAUUUAUAAUGGACAAGAUGGGAGUGACCUUUAUGGAGAUAAGAUGAGAGAAGCGAGGAUGAUGUGGUUCGAACAUAUGAAAAUGAGGUGUGAGGAGCCACGGAUGCGUCAGUUAAGAGGUCUGAGAGGUUGGUUGUAGAAGAAAUAGUAGGCAUAGAGGUAGUGCUCGAAAAGAACAAGAGGGGGGGGGGGGGAAAACCCAACUAGUAUAAACAAAACUUGUUAGUUAGAAGAUGUGAGAGGUUGAUUGUAGAAGAAGUCAAAGGGGUAGAGGUAGUACUCGAAAAGAACUAGGAAGAAGGGGACUAGAUAGAACUUGACACAACUUCAACUUACAUAGAAGAGGGCUAGCCCCCUCCUUCAGUGGUGGACCCAGAAAUUUUACCAAGUGGGUUCAACAUAUAAAAAAAAAUGAAGCAGUAUUAAAAUGUUGUGGGUGGGAAUCGUACACGCGAUGCAUCAGUCAAAUUGUAACCACUUUGCCGCUAGGCUGCGUGUUACUAUUGAUUUAAGUGGGGUCAAAUUAAUUAUAUACAAUGUUUUGUUUCAAAAAAAUAGAUUGAAUAUAUAUGUAUAUACAAUGUAUUUUUUCGACGAAGUGUGUUCAUAUGAACCCACUUGCAACAAGGUAGGUCCGCCCCUGCCCUCCUUUCCUCGUUUCAUUAUUGUUUCAUUUGCUUUGUAUCUUGCUAUUUGAUUGUUAUAUUUUUCUUGCAAUCCUACUUCAACAACAUCACUUUUGAGCUGAGGAUCUAUAAAAAUAGCCUCUCUAGUCUCUACCCCUUAACACUCCUAUUAAAUAGAAUUUAAAAAGUUGACUACAAUUUCACAUGAUAUAUAUUUCAGAUUAUUUAUUAAUUUAAACAACACAAAUCAUACAGUGAUUCUUUAUAUCUUCUCUGUAAUGUAACAUUCACAAAACACUUCUCAGAGAAAAUUGACCAAACACUAAAGUCAUAAACUAUUUAUCUAAUCAACAACAUAUUAAGUAUAAUCUCACAAAUGAAGUCCGGAGAAAAUUUAACGUCCACGAACAUUAUCCUUACCUUUGUCAACAAAAGUGUUUCUCAAAUCAUUUAAAAGUGUUUCUCAAAUCAUUUAGCCAAUGAUAAACUGCUAUGUUCACAAAAUACAUUUUCCUGAAACUUCACUUUGACCAAAAAAAUGUUCUUCUAAAAGAUUGGUCAAACAGUUUAUAUAGGAGAGAACAAAGCUUAAUCCUAUUAACUGCUUCGACUAAAAUUUGUUACUAAAGUGAAUACUGUUUCUCUUCUUUUCUAUUUUGUGUGGGAGUUACUAAAGGGUAUCUCUAUAUAAGGGGAGAGUGAGAUUGUUCACGGGAGUGUUUUUUUAUGUCCAACCGUGGUGUCUGAGCUAGCUUGCAUACUUCACAAGGACCAACUAGUGCGGAAUAUCAAUGCAGGAAACUGAGUGGCUCCUUCAUCCAUCACAUAGAGUAGACCUGGUUGCAACUUGCACUUCUUUCCUACGUUGAAAUUGAGAAAGCUUUCAACUUGAAAACGGUUCCACUUUCUUGGACCUCGUAGCAAACCACCAAGCUCAAACCCCAUCCAAAAUCAUCCUCAGAGGUAUCAGACAUGGUAACUGCCCACUUCAAAUAUUCGGGACUUGCUAUAUUUGUCUCUACCCAGCCACCAAUUUUUGUACUUUCAUCAAGUUCUGACUCUAGGGUCAUGGCAAGUGGCCCAUCUAAGAAGCAGUUUUCCACCAAGGACGCUUGAGGAUGCCCUGACUGUUGUAAAAAACUAAAAGGCAACGACAUAGCUGCGAGUCUAGGCUGUUGACGUGACAGAUUGGCCAUUUUGUGUAUGCCCAAGAUUGAUAGUUUUGUAUUGCUUGAAAGAUGGCAAACAACUUGACCAAAAGUGCCAAAACAAUACAAAACACUAUCAGAGUGUGGCGGCAAUGCAGAGACAAACUGAGCCAAGCAGGCUACAAUAUUUGAUUUUUUAACCAUCACAGCGAUUCCACUACCAUUUAGUUGAUUCAGCAGGGGUGGCCCAAAAGAUGAAUAGUCAGUCAGCCCCCUUUCCUGCAAAAAUUCCCCAAAAAAAAUGUUAUUCUAGGCUACACAUUAAGGCAACUAAAAAUGAUGUAAUAUAACAAGUAGAUACAAUAUGCAACAUCUGCAACAACCAACUAAUGACUCCCCAUGGGAUCUUCCUUGUCAGAUUACUUACCUUGCUUUUACAUGAAGCUACAUAGACAACUGAAAGAUGUAAUAUAACAAGUAAAUACACUAUGCAACAAGCCAACAACCAUGUAAUGACCUCCCUCCCCCCACAGAAUCUUCCUUGUCAACCUGUUGAUUUCUUUUUUUUGAUAAAGUUAAAGUUGUAUUCUUCAACAUUAAGGGUAUGCUGGCUACCUCCAAAAAGUUACAAGCUAAAUACAUAAUUACAUAGACCCUAGGAAAUCUACCAACUGUUCUACUUCUUCUAUACCAUCUUCUUUACUACCUAAAAAAACAAUGUUAAUGUCAAUUUUCUUUAACUUUCUGAAUAGUGUUGGUAAUAUUCUCAUGACACCUAAGGUUUCUUUCUCUCCAAAUAGCCCACCAGACACAAGUAGGUACCAUAGACCACCAUCUUUUUUGGGUCUUGCUCCCCACUCUCCUCAUCCAGCAGCUCAAAAGGUCAGUAGUAUGUUCUGGCAUCGCCCAGGGCUCUUGAGAAAUGCUGAGAACCAUGUGCCUAUUUUCUUGAGUUUUUCCUGAGUGAGACAUGCCCUUCUGGUGACCAACCAGGCGAAGCAUUUCACCUUGGUUGGGGUGUUGCCAUUCCAUAUUUGUUUCCAUGGACCAAGCAUUUCACCUGUUGAUUUCUUGUCAUUACUCAAUCCUAAUAAGUGCGAGAACUUUUGCACCACAGAUCAGCAACUCGAUAUUUUCUUUUGGUUUUGGUGAGUACAUCUGCAACUUCAUUUUACAGGAAUUUUGACCUAACCUUUUUUUGGGAGGCUGGUAACAAAACUUUUGACCUUAUUACUUUUGCAACUUCUUGCUGAUACUGACAAUACCAAAAAGAAUCGGACAAGGAAUUGAUAACUAUGAUCACAAAUCAGAAAGCACAUUCAGUAUUCAGAAGCAUUUACCUCACGUGAACUUGUAGGUACUGCAACAUCUCUGCAUCAACCACCGACUGGAAUGGCAACUGCAGAACACCAAUCACUGAUAUUGCUGCAUAAAGAACUUUUGCUAAGGAAAGUGGACUACCCAGGAUAUUCAUUUGGCCUCUUUCGCUGCCAACAAACUCUGCUACAAGUGUAUCCUUUUCACGGAUAGUUGUUUCAAAGUCAGCCUAGAAUCAAUACCAGUCCUAAUUGCUCUUUCAAUUGCAUUGCACUUGGAUUCAUCAAUGGUACCGAUCAUCAACAGUGCACCCACAGCAUCAAAUUCUCCCCUUACGUGAGUGCUAGUUUCUUGGAAUGGACUUCCUUUAGAAGAUUUAUAGAAUGCAAGCGCUCGCUCCAACUUCUCUUGUCUGUCUCUUAGCUUCAUAAUAUCUGAAAAAGAUUCUCGCUGCAAUCUCUUCAAGAUCUCAAUCUGGAAAUGAUAUAAUUGGAAGAGUUGUAAAGCACCAUCAUACAGGCUGUUGCUACAUAAGAAUUAGCAAAUAUGUCAAACUAAAGCUUGCCGAGGGGAGUGGAGUUGGGAAACAGUGAUAUCCUACAGCUAAUGAGAGUAACAAAUCCCAACCGAACUAUGUCAAAAUAAAUCUGGAUAAGUAUCUUUUUUUUUCUUUCGAUAAGCAAAAGGAUCGUUAAAAGAGAUUUUUCUCUUACAUAUGGAUAACUCUUUAGUCAAUAUUAUUUCCUGGGAAGCCACAUAUCAUACAGGCAUCGUCAUACAGCAGACAGUAAACAUAAAAGACUUAAGGGUACACAGACAGAGCCUUCUCAUACUUAAGAGACCCAUCAGAGUAAAGCAGUGCCCAAUAACAAAGCUUGUGGUAACUGGUAAAGUAAGAAUUUGACUGCUCAAGCUCUGAGUACUUCCUAAUGACACUGUUCCGCAGUUGAACGUUGCAUGACAGGUAACCGAUAUACCCACUUUAGAUCAAUAGUACAAAAGUAGGUAUGUGUACAAUCUCACCUUCCCCUGACCUUCUAAAAAGAGCCAAAACUACCAUUCUCACAUAAGAAAUAACAUUUUCAUAACUUUAACUGCUCUCCCUUUAGAUAUUCAUUUGCUUCAAAUAAGAUUCACAUGAAGGAGUAGCUAUUAUCUUGAAGAAAUGUUCAAUAUCAUACUUGCUUGGAUCCCUCACUCUGUAUAACUCUUACUGCACAUUCUUUUAGGAUCCUAAGUUGGGAAAAUUUGAAUAUAAUAUAUAUUGAUCCAAUG